GAUUAUUGCCUGAGUGUCCGUCAAAAUAACGGAUGUUAGAGGGAUGCACGGUUACCAUUUACUUUAGAUUUAAUUUUCUUUGGUUUAUUUAUUGUUUUUUUUUGUUGGAUGUUGGAUCAUAAUUGUAUAAGGAAAACCUAGGCCAUAAAAGGAUGGUUCUAUGGUGCUGACUGGUUUGUUCUACUUGCAUUACCCACUGUUAAUUAAUUUGUUUUUCUUUCUUUUUGUAGAAUUCUUUUCAAACCAACAAUGGCUUCUGGGUUAUCCUCACUGUGUGGAUGGCGGUGGUGAGGUGGCUGGGAUUGUGUGGUGGUUUGGUCACUUUAUUUGUGUUUCUUACUUUUUUGUAGGUUUGCAGUGUGAUUGCUGUGAGCGUUGUUAUGGUGAGAGCAUUUUGAAUGCCACUCUGUCUUCACGAUAUAGGUAACCCGUGGCUAUCUGUUGGUUGAUUUCGUUUUUUUUUUUUGUUUUUGCUUCUUUUUAUGUAUUAUUAUUUCCUUUGUGGGUAUUUGCAUUGACGAUCUGUUACACCUUUUUUUAAUAUGUUGAAUUAUUUGAAUAAAAAUGUGCCUGUUGAGUAAAGCUGUA